rnacentral:rRNA from 1 species
UACGUAGGUGGCAAGCGUUAUCCGGAAUUAUUGGGCGUAAAGCGCGCGCAGGCGGUUUCUUAAGUCUGAUGUGAAAGCCCACGGCUCAACCGUGGAGGGUCAUUGGAAACUGGGGAACUUGAGUGCAGAAGAGAAAAGCGGAAUUCCACGUGUAGCGGUGAAAUGCGUAGAGAUGUGGAGGAACACCAGUGGCGAAGGCGACUUUUUGGUCUGUAACUGACGCUGAGGCGCGAAAGCGUGGGGAGCAAACAGG